GGAAUGGGUUUUUUUUUUUGUUUGGCAAAUCUGCUGCUCUAACUGUCAGUGAAAGUUACUUAUCUCCUUUUGUUUUAACUAUGAAGUAGAAUCAGAGAGCAGCAUGUACUAUUGAAAGGAUAGUACUAAAGAGCCAAGCGAAAAGCUACGCCUGCCAUUUUGUAGUAUUCUGUAUGCUUUUCAGAUUUAAAGUCCAAAAGUAAGCCAGCCCUCUGAUUUUAGUUUUAUGAAUUGGAUAUUCAUAAGCAUCCUUUUCUUCCCUCUGAUACACUGCAGUAACUCUUAGGAAAAUGACUGGCAUUGGUAGAGUUAAUUCCGCAGCUGUGGCCCCCAGCUGGAUGUCCCACCUAGCACCUGCAAGGCAUAUAGUUUAAGUGGUAUAUUAGGCUGCAUAGAAUUGUUGCUUAUAGUGGACUUGAAGAGAGUUUGUGUGGGAACUUAAGGAAAGCUUGUGUUUGCUUACCUACACAAAGGAACUGCAGCUCAAAAGAAGUGGAGCAUUAGUAGCAUUGCUUUUUGAGUAUUUUUAAAAUGUCCUUUGAAAAACUCAGGUUAUCUUUUUAAAAGGAGCAGUUGAAUUACAUGCUUAUCAUCACUCCAAACCCUCACCUUGGCUUACUUUCUGGAGCAGUAAUUCUCUUCCAAAAGAGUUGCUGUGAUUUGAUUAUAUUCAGGUCUAGUGAAGAGUGUGAGUAAUGGUUAUGUUUCCCUGAUUGCCUGUUGGAGUGAUACAUCUUUCUUAUAAGUAGCUGUAACUUAGUUGACAGCCUCUUCAGGUUAAAACUAAAAUCAUCUUUUGGCUGUAGGCCUUAAUUGUCCUUCCUAAACCAGACACUUCACCGUCAGGAAAAUACAAUCCCAAAAGUGCAAGGUACAAUGCUUAUGUAUCCUCUGUAAAUUAAAAAACUGGGUUGGAGCUCUACAGGUGAACAUGGUUUCCAUUCAGGGACAUCUUGAGCCACAUUACAUCUACUGCACUGAUUGACUCCUUGGAAACACAGGUGAAAACUAUACUUACUGCACAUAUGUAUCACACAUCUCAUUAUACUUCAUGCUAAUUCAGGGAUUCUCAAGUAUUUCCUUGUUUUUCAUUAUGUUUCCUCAACAACAAGUAAGUAAGUACUGCCUUCUGGCAAACAAAAAAGGGUUGGUUAGAUCAGCUUAGCUGAGUGAUAACUUUGUGCCCAGAGGGAAGAAGAAGGGAUGAUUUUGCAAUUAGUUGUUCCAAAAAAAAAGUCCUCAAAACCUAAAACCAUAUCCAAGAUAGCAUAGAUAAUCAUUAUAUGAUCCAAUGUAUCUGGUAAGAACAGCAGUAAAUUUGUAGGUGGUCAGUAUCAGAGACUGAAAUCUAAAGUCUUUGAAUGAGAUCAGAACUGUUGCUUUUCUACAAGGUCAACCACAUUUAGUCUCAGUUAACAAUAGUGUAAGUGCAUGCAGUAUAGACAGUGAUUAGGACAUCAAUCUGGUAUGAAAUGUAGGCCAAUGCCAGCAAUCCACUAUCAUUCCUGAACUUCCUUGGCACCUUUCAUAAGACCACAGCACUUGAGUCCAGCUCCUGAUGGAACUUACCUACUUAAAUAAGGGACCUGAAGUCCCUGUAAUAGUUUAUUGAGGUCAAGCAAUUUAAAUUUAUUUCUUAGCUUCCAAGAAAAGCCUGCGGAUGUAGGUUCCUUCCUCUGGGAAGACCAGUCUUUGGUCUCUUCGGUACCUUCUACAGUCAAGCACAUCUUAGCCAAAGGCAGGUUGUUCCUGUGUGCCAUGCUCUGCAUAACAGCUUUAAAAAUAACAACCACAGUAGUUCAAUAUCAGAACAGUAUUUUGAUGUCAGAGCUGUUAAUGUGGCCCUCUCAGACCUGUUGUGUACAAGCCUAAGACUGACUGACUUUUCUUUUAUCAGUUCAUUUUUUUUCCCUUUGGCCAAUAAGGCAAUAAUAAUAAUAAUAAAAAACCCAGCAUUAAUGCAAUUGUUUAGAAACAAAAAGUUCUGCAUGCUACAGAACAAACCGACCUCCAGCUUGCUGCCAAGGGAGCAAGACUGCACUGCUGUCUGCAGUCAGGCAUACUGCUCCUCUCUAGCUGAGUCCCUGUGCAGAACAAGCCAGUGUUAAAAUACAUUCUAGCUUUCAUAUGGUCCUUACAUCCUCCCAUCUCUUGACAGGAAAAAGAGCUCUGAACUGAAUGUUUGGAGAGUGAUGUGCCUGUGGUACAAAGCAAACACUGAGCACCUCAGCCCAGAGAGCAGCAGCUGCUCACCAGUCAGUCCCCCAGCCCUCAUGCCCCCACCCUCUUCUGCCUCUGUGUAUAAGGGGAGAUGCUUCACUGUUUGGGCUGUAACAUGCCCCAGACCUUCACUGCCCAUCUCUGAGGAAUGAUGGCAGCCUGGUCACCUUUCAGCUUGGAUAGCAAAGGGUUAUCUGAGUGCUACUGGAGGCCAUGCACAAUUUGAGGUGUGCUGUUAGCAGGUUCUCAUGUUAUUCAGAAUAUGUGCAUAUAUGUUGUGAAUAGGGCAAGAGAUGAGAUGCCAAUACAGUGCUGGAGAUAUUUUGUUGCCUACUGUAGCAACAACUACACAAAGAGGAUGUGCAGGCUGCUGGACAUCUACUUUUUGCCCUGGUAACAAUGAAUUAAUACUAAGGAAUGAAACAGAAUAAUACCAUUGCAUAUACACUGAGUUAAUUAAAAACUACUGUUUGGAAAACUUGUACUCAACCUUUUUAAACUAUGAAAUUCAGCAUUUAAUUCCAUAGCUGCUUUGUCUACUCACUUGUGCACAGCCUGGAAGUGAGUUUGAAUGGAUCCCACCCUGCUUUGAAGAGACAAUUAUUCUGGUAACAGUGAGUUUAAACAGUGAUUUUAAAAAUGAGACAACUCUGCUAGGAGUUCCCAUUUGAGAGGAUUCUCUUUAGAGACUUGCUAUUGGAGAAAAGUGCUGUUCAUCCAUAGCAUAUGAUUACAGCCAAGCUGUUUCAAUCUUAGUUUUCCUGCCUUUUUUUUUUCCGGCCAUUCCUUAGCUUCUCUACUCAGCUUAAAUGGUUGGCUUUGCUUAAACUUCACUUAACUCUGUAAACAGCAGCAUAAACAGCUAACAUGAAAAGCUGAACCAAAUGUGUGGCAAUGAAACAAUGUGCCUGGUUCCUUGUAACCAUAACUGCUUACCUGUCAGAAAGUACUGAGGGCUGAGCAAGCCAGAAAGUCACCCCACUGCUGGCAGCACAAGGUCCUGCAUCCAGACAUCGUUUUCCACACUGCAGAUGAUCAGUCACUAACAGAGAAGCAACAGUAACUUCUGCCUUAAAGUAUUUGUACUUCUUUUUUAAGACAAAAUAAAUCGCAGUCUUCUGAUGCAAGAGCAAUUAUUCCUUGUGUAUGGAGAAGGUACAUGGAUGAAGGAGCCAAAAAGUAUAUGCUGAUCUAAGCAUAAGUUCACAGGUUUAGUUAUUUCUGUAAUGUCUUCAUGUCUGAAAUCAAUUGUAGGCGGUCAGCAUAAGUAAGGUUUCCAGCCAUAGUGAGAGUGACCGUGCUUGACUGUGUAAAAUAUGUCUUGGGGAGAUAGACAAGCAUCACCAUUAGUUAUAUUAAUACACCAUCAGAAACUGGUAACAACAGACAAUGUAAACUGGGAUUGUAAAUUGUCUGUUCCUGUAUUAAGGGUGCUACUGAAAUUCCCAGGAUAGGCCAUUCAAAGUGCAAACAGAGCACAGAAGGAUCUGUCAGACUGCAUAACAGCACAUGCUGAGAGAUGUCAGAGUUUCCAAAAACAGACUAAAAGCACUGCCUAAUUUUUUCUUAUCUAGCACCAGCAACAAAAGAGGUGACAAAGUCUUGCUUUAGCAGAAUGCUUAGCACUUCCACAGAGCUCACUUCAAAGUAAAACUAACUCACAUUAAGGGAAGUUUUAAACAACAACAAAUAUGUUGAAUGGGACCUCGCUGGAAUAAUUGUGUAUGCCAUCAGAUGUGGUUUGCAGUUGGCAGGUAGGGCAGUGCUCUUACCAAUGGACAAGGCUAUGUGUGGGUGGAUGUGCUAGCUUAGUCCAUGUGCCUGGCAUAGCAUCAUACAGGAGUGGAUUGCAGCUCUUCCAUGCAAGGAAAAAACACCAACUCCCCCUUUGUUUGGAGAACAAUAAAAACCAUACUAGCAUCAGAAAGAACAGCUAUUCUUUCAUUUCAAAAAUAAGAGACAAACAGUUCAAGACACAUGGAAGAGCAACAGUGCUAUUAAUAAAAAAAGCUGCUUUCCUUGAGACCAAGGUACAGCUGUUUAAGGGACUUGGAUCUUUGAAAGGAGGAAGUUUAUCCUCAUUCCUGAAGGCAAACAAGGGCAAAGGGGC
rnacentral:lncRNA from 1 species